rnacentral:lncRNA from 1 species
UAGUGGAGGGGGAGGAGUUUCAGUACUUCCUCAGUUGUCGGAGUUAUGCUGCCCCUGACAUACAGACAUUAUCUUCUCACAAACACACUCUCUUCUCACACACUGUCAGACACUCUGUUCUCACACACUGUCAGACACUCUCGCGGCUGUAUUCAUUACUGUCUGUUGCUCUUUCAAAACACAGGAACAGGGACAGGAGCAGAAUGACUGGGCUUUAGCCUGGUGGAGGGGAACGUUUCCCCAGACUGAGGACACACUGGGACUACUGGACUGGACUACUGUACCACUACCACCCUCAUGACGAAUGAAGUGACAGGAGAGAACAGACAGCAGGACAGAGACAUCUCCCCUGCUGAGCUGGAUGCACUAUGGAGAGAACCACCGUACACGCUAGCGGGAACCAAUGAGCACUUCCCAGGAAAUGAUGUUAUGAAUCCAGGUAACUACAGUAAAAGCCUUAAAGCAUUCGAUGACACAAAACAUCCAGCUGAUUCUAUCCCAAUUAAGUCCUGCAUGAGUUAUAUUGCCCAGACACAUGUUGUCUGGGCACAUGUUUAGGACAGCUAAAGCAGGUCGUUAUAUUAUAAUAGACCAUCUGGGAGAGGCAGUACGUUAAUAGAUGGGUGGGCUUUGAUAGGCUCUUUAUGUUCUGUUGAUGUUCUGGAGGAAACAGACUAAUCACUGUUGAAAUCCUCAUCAGCUGGACCACAGAAUACACGGUACACCAGCAGUUAAGUAACUUUUAGUGUGAAUGUUUCCUCAUACAGUAACUGGUUACCAGUCAGGUUUGCGUUCCAGAAGGAUAUACGAUGAAGCAUUGUGCUCUCCAUUCCCUCUUGACAGUUGUCACAAAACAAGGUUGCUCGAUGAUCUUGCACUUGCUUACAGAGCACAUGUAGCUGACACAAAAGUCUAUUUUAAAAUCAACCCCCCGAAACAGCUGUCUCACCCGUUCCUUCCUGAGGGUUCCACUGACCUGACCUGACCUGAUCUCUGUUUCCUGUCUUCUCCAGGGGUGGAAGGGCUGGGGGUGGAGUCUGGGGGUGGGGAGGCGGAGCCGUACAGUUACUGGAAGAGGAAGGAGGAGUUCACCAGAGGAAGCACCGUGUCACUGGCCGUGGGAGAGAGGUUCUCCUCAGGUACUGUUCUGCUCUCAGAUGCUCUGUACGGAUGUGUUCCAAAUGGUACCCUAAUACCUAUAGGUGCACUUUGACCCAAACGGUGCUAUUUGGGACAGCCAGGGUGUUUCUCUCUCUAUUCCUGCUUGGAUGUGCUAACUGCUAACGUAGC